AACAGGAAUGGGGUGCCCGGUGCAGAGCCCGAGGGUGCAGCGGUGCUGGUUGUGCAGUACAAGGUGCAGAGGGGCUCGGUGGGGAGGCACAGAUGUGUGGGGUGUGGGUGCAGAGGUGCAUGGUUCAGAGGGGCAGAAGUUCAGGGUUUAGAGGGGCAGAAAUUCAGGGUGCAGGUACAGAGGUGCACAUGUGUGUGGUACAAGGUGCAGAUGUGCAGGUACAGAGGUGCAGAUGUGCCCAGUACAGGUACAGAUGUGCCCAGUACAGAUGCAGAUGUGCCCAGUUCAGCUGCAGAUCUGUGUGGUACAGGGUGCAGAUGUUCCCAGCCAUGUCUAUCCCUCCCUGCCCAGCUCCUCCCGCUGUCUCUCCCCAGCGGGGUCACUCCUGGCACCUGAUCCCCGACAUCCACCGUCCAGCACUGCGUGGGAAGUAUCCCAGUGCUGCAUCUUCCCAAGGGCUGCCUGCCCUGGUUGGCACCUCUGCAGCACACUCACCCUCCUUCCUGCUCCUUCCAUCUCUCCUCCUCCUGCUGCCUCCCUCCUUUCUCUCUCCUCCCUUCCUCUUUCCUCCCUUCCUCACUUUCUCCUUUCUCUCUUUCCCCUUCCUCCUCACAUCUCACCCUCCCUUCCUCCCCAGUGCCAAGCAGUGGGUCACCCUAUCCCGUUCUGACCUUGGGUGGCAGCUCCUGAUGCUCGAGGGUCACUUUAACCCCCCACAGUGUCACCUGCAGUGCCCAAGGCCGGGGCUGUCCCUCAGGCAGAGCAGCCCCACCGGCUCCAGAGGCAUCUCAUCCCUGGCUCAGGCCUUUCCUUCCCUUGAGGCAGCUGCCAGUUCCCUUCUCCAGAUCCUCAGCUCCAUCCCCUUUCCCUGCCCAUCUCCUGAUGACAGUCCCUGCCCUGCCCUGCCCGUGCUGAUGUCCCUGUCCCCCUCAUCCCCAUCCCUGGUCCCCACUGACACUGCUGGUGUUGGCACGGGCCCUGUUGUGGCUGCCAAGGGUCCUGCAGUCACCUGGCAGCGGGCACAGCCCAUCAUCCCACAG
rnacentral:lncRNA from 1 species